UUUUUUGAAGUGUUCCACAUUACUUUUUCAAGGUAAAAAUGAAUCUAAUUUUAAAUU
rnacentral:tRNA from 1 species